rnacentral:rRNA from 1 species
UGAGCAAUCUGCCCUUCCCUUCGGAAUAAGCGUUGGAAACGACGUCUAAUGCCGAAUACGACCUCCUUUCGCAUGACUCGGAGGUGGAAAGCUCCGGCGGAGAAGGAUGAGCUCGCGGCCUAUCAGCUAGCUGGUGUGGGUAAUGGCCCACCAAGGCGACGACGGGUAGCCGGCCUGAGAGGAUGAUCAGCCACACUGGGACUGAGACACGGCCCAGAUCCGUAACGGG